rnacentral:rRNA from 1 species
GUAGGGGGCGAACGUUGCUCGGAAUUACUGGGCGUAAAGGGUGCGUAGGUGGCUGAGCAAGUCGCUGAUGAAAUCCCGAGGCUCACCCUCGGAACUGUCAUCGAAACUGCUCAGCUUGAGGAAGGUUGAGGAAAACGGAAUUCCCGGUGGAGCGGUGAAAUGCGUAGAUAUCGGGAGGAACACCUGAGGCGAAGGCGGUUUUUCUGGGCCUUUCCUGACACUGAGGCACGAAAGCUAGGGGAGCAAACGGGGAUUAGAUACCCCGGUAGUCCUAGCCGUAAACGAUGGGCACUAGAUGUUUUCCCACUUAUUGUGGGGGUGUCGAAGCAAACGCGUUAAGUGCCCCGCCUGGGGAGUACGGUCGCAAGGCUG